AAUCCGCGGCGUUGGUGCUACACAUAAGCAUAAAUUCAGCCUUCACACUUUCUCCAGUGGAAGAGCCUCACGUAAUAAGAAAAUCUCUGGCUGUAGCCGAAUUUCUCACUGAUGAUGCUAAGUACAUUUACAGUUAAGUGAGGACUGUGAAGUGGUUCGAAUGACAGUGUUCAUUUCCAGGAAAGGAGUACAAGAUCAGGACUGAUGUGAAAUGCUUGAUUCGGUCAAUCGUCUUACAGUUUGUAUGGUGGUGGAUUUUCUUCAAACUGAAGACCACCUUUAACUUCACCAGAGGCCAAGCCUAUUGUUCUCUUUGAUCUGGACCGAGAAGAGAAACCUGUGAGGUCCCUCACCCUAAGCACUCAGCCGUCCCCAGUCAAAACAUGGCGAAACGGGGGCUGAGGGACACAUACAGAUACAUAAAACCUCUCUUCAUCCAGGACCGUCAAAUAUAGACAUCUGUUUAAAGACAUCUGCCAUCGAUUUCCACUGCUAACAUGACAUUAGACUCAGUUUGCAGUGUUCUCUUUAGCAUUUACCCCUGCUGACAUAUCAUACCCUGAAGUUUGUGACCGUCGGUGAACCGUAUGUCCCCUCAGGCCGGAAAGAGAGAGAAAUGAUAAGAGGCUUCCUUAAAUUACAGACUGCAGUCUCAUCUAAAUGGAGUUCAACCAGAGGCUGAGGGAAACAAGGUCAUCCAUUAAAGCAACACAAUUAAAGCUGCAGCCUGCAUUCUUCGUGACAAAUUUCAGUAGGAAUAAAGCCAGAUUAUUACUAUAGC